GGGGUAAGUAGAGUGGCAAACGGGUGAGUAACACGUAAGAAUCUACCUUUUGGUGGGGGAUACCUUCGAGAAAUUGGAGUUAAUACCAUAUAAGUCCCUUCGGGGAGAAAGGCCGCGUAAUGCGGUCGCCGAAAGAUGAGCUUGCGGCCUAUUAGCUAGUUGGUGUGGUAAGAGCGCACCAAGGCGAUGAUGGGUAACCGGCCUGAGAGGGUGUACGGUCACACUGGAACUGAGAUACGGUCCAGACUCC
rnacentral:rRNA from 1 species